UACGUAGGGGGCUAGCGUUGUCCGGAAUCAUUGGGCGUAAAGCGCGUGUAGGCGGUUCGGUAAGUCCGCUGUGAAAGUCGGGGGCUCAACCCUCGGAUGCCGGUGGAUACUGUCGGGCUAGAGUGCGGAAGAGGCGAGUGGAAUUCCUGGUGUAGCGGUGAAAUGCGCAGAUAUCAGGAGGAACACCAAUUGCGAAGGCAGCUCGCUGGGACGUUACUGACGCUGAGACGCGAAAGCGUGGGGAGCAAACAGG
rnacentral:rRNA from 1 species